rnacentral:rRNA from 1 species
GACGAACGCUGGCGGCGUGCCUAACACAUGCAAGUCGAGCGGGGUUGAAGCGAGAGGUAACUCGAACUUCUACCUAGCGGCGGACGGGUGAGUAACGCGUGGGCAACCUGCCUCAAGGUCUGGGAUAACAGCCCCGAAAGGGCUGCUAAUACUGGGUAUGCUUGUGGCCUCGCAUGGGGCUAUGAGCAAAGGGGAAACCCGCCUUGAGAUGGGCCCGCGUCCCAUCAGCUAGUUGGUGAGGUAACAGCUCACCAAGGCGACGACGGGUAGCCGGCCUGAGAGGGUGACCGGCCACACUGGGACUGAGACACGGCCCAGACUCCUACGGGGGGCAGCAGUGGGGAUCUUGCACAAUGGGCGAAAGCCUGAUGCAGCGACGCCGCGUGAGCGAAGAAGGCCUUCGGGUUGUAAAGCUCUGUCUGGAGGGACGAAGGAAGUGACGGUACCUCCGGAGGAAGCCACGGCUAACUACGUGCCAGCAGCCGCGGUAAUCACGAGACGUACUA